rnacentral:misc_RNA from 1 species
AAAGUUUCAGAUACAGUGAGCAAGGGAAGGCAUGCAUCGUACUGAGGGACAUAAGCUGAGAGCUUCCGAAACGAGGAAGGGUUGAUAGGGGAGGAGUUGAGGAGGAGAGUACCAGUUGUUGGGGAAGUGCGAGCUGCUAAAAUAUCGAGGAGAGAGGAUUUUCCAGCUCCACUGGGGCCAACAAUGGCAAGGAUUUGAGAUGGAGAGGCUGUGAAAGACACAUCCUGGAGAAUAAAAGUUGGUGGGGCUGUCGUGCAGGGUUUGAAGAGGAAGAAUGGUACAAUGCUAUUAGUUAUGGUAGUACAUUUAACAUAGGAGAUUGAUGAGGCUGUUAAUUUAUAAGUCUUGAGUGAGGCAGGUGGCGGAAGCGGCGGCGGUGAUGAAGAUGGUGAUUGGAGUUCCAUGGAGGAGCAGAAGGACAGAGAAGAUGAGAGGAUAUGUUUUUGGCU